AGUCGAGCGAGUCUGCCUUGAAGAUCGGAGUGCUUGCACUCUGUGAAACAAGAUACAGGCUAGCGGCGGACGGGUGAGUAACACGUGGGUAACCUGCCCAAGAGAUCGGGAUAACACCUGGAAACAGAUGCUAAUACCGGAUAACAACAGAUGAUGCCUAUCAACUGUUUAAAAGAUGGUUCUGCUAUCACUCUUGGAUGGACCUGCGGUGCAUUAGCUAGUUGGUAGGGUAACGGCCUACCAAGGCGAUGAUGCAUAGCCGAGUUGAGAGACUGAUCGGCCACAUUGGGACUGAGACACGGCCCAAACUCCUACGGGAGGCAGCAGUAGGGAAUCUUCCACAAUGGACGCAAGUCUGAUGGAGCAACGCCGCGUGAGUGAAGAAGGGUUUCGGCUCGUAAAGCUCUGUUGUUGGUGAAGAAGGACAGGGGUAGUAACUGACCUUUGUUUGACGGUAAUCAAUUAGAAAGUCACGGCUAACUACGUGCCAGCAGCCGCGGUAAUACGUAGGUGGCAAGCGUUGUCCGGAUUUAUUGGGCGUAAAGCGAGUGCAGGCGGCUCGAUAAGUCUGAUGUGAAAGCCUUCGGCUCAACCGGAGAAUUGCAUCAGAAACUGUCGAGCUUGAGUACAGAAGAGGAGAGUGGAACUCCAUGUGUAGCGGUGAAAUGCGUAGAUAUAUGGAAGAACACCGGUGGCGAAGGCGGCUCUCUGGUCUGUUACUGACGCUGAGGCUCGAAAGCAUGGGUAGCGAACAGGAUUAGAUACCCUGGUAGUCCAUGCCGUANACGAUGAGUGCUAAGUGUUGGGAGGUUUCCGCCUCUCAGUGCUGCAGCUAACGCAUUAAGCACUCCGCCUGGGGAGUACGACCG
rnacentral:rRNA from 1 species